AACGCUGGCGGCAGGCUUAACACAUGCAAGUCGAGCGCCCCGCAAGGGGGAGCGGCAGACGGGUGAGUAACGCGUGGGAACAUACCCUUUGGUUCGGAAUAACUCAGGGAAACUUGAGCUAAUACCGGAUACGUCCGUAAGGAGAAAGAUUUAUCGCCAAAGGAUUGGCCCGCGUCCGAUUAGCUAGUUGGUGAGGUAACGGCUCACCAAGGCUACGAUCGGUAGCUGGUCUGAGAGGAUGAUCAGCCACAUUGGGACUGAGACACGGCCCAAACUCCUACGGGAGGCAGCAGUGGGGAAUAUUGGACAAUGGGCGCAAGCCUGAUCCAGCCAUGCCGCGUGAGUGAUGAAGGCCUUAGGGUUGUAAAGCUCUUUUGUCCGGGAAGAUAAUGACUGUACCGGAAGAAUAAGCCCCGGCUAACUUCGUG
rnacentral:rRNA from 1 species